AACCUUAUGGCCUGAUCUUUUCUGCUUCUUCCUCCUCGCUUUGACUGCCUUCGUUCUUGCUUAGAGCACAAGAAGUAAGUCCUUGAUUUCAGCAUACCUUGUGUAUGAAGAAGAUGGAGAUCGUGUUUAUCAGAUUGCCAUAUAGCGUUCCUUCCACCUCUGCCUCCUUUUCAGGGAUUUUGAAGGCAGGAGAACUAGCAAGAAGAUCUGUCUCCUGCGCUGAUGUCAGUAGCGGUGUGCAGAAGAGUCCCAAGAUCUAUGGGAAUAUUCUUGUAAAACCAUCUCUGAAGCUUGUAAGUAUUUUGCAUGCCUGGAAGGUUGUCUAGAAAUUCCCACCGU
rnacentral:lncRNA from 1 species